rnacentral:rRNA from 1 species
AUGGCUUCGCUUGUGCCCGGGGUCCUCCUCAAGCUCCUUCAGCACAUGAACAGCGACGUCAAAGUCGCGGGCGAGCACCGGUCGUCCCUUCUUCAGGUCGUCAGCAUUGUUCCGGCGCUUGCUGGCAGCGAUCUCUUCACCAACCAGGGGUUCUACCUCAAGGUGUCUGAUUCCUCGCACGCCACCUAUGUUUCCCUGCCGGAGGACCAGCAUGACCUCAUAUUGAGCGACACAAUUCAGCUGGGGCAGUUCAUCCAUGUAGACCGUCUUGAGGCCGCCACCCCGGUGCCUAUCUUGAGGGGGGUCAGGCCGGUUCCAGGCCGACAUCCGUGUGUCGGCACUCCCGAAGACCUUGUCAUGACUAGUUCCUCCAAGUUUCUUGGCGAAAAGAAGGCACAGCCACCCGCCAAUGGUUCCAAGGAUGCAGGGGCCUUGUCACUGGAGAAAGAGCAAAGCAAGUUAGAGAAACUAAAUGCUUCUGUGAAAAACAACGGGGCCGAAAGCAAGAAACCGCAGCUGACCAAGUCGAAUUCUUCGCUUUCGAAGCAAGCGCUCGCCAGCCUUUUCGACAAGAAGGAAGUGGUUACGUCAAAGGUGAAGUCAAACAAUCCUAGGUCGACACCUUCAUCGCCUACCAGCGUACAUUCUCUACCUGCAUCAUUUGAAAGAUUCUCAAAUGACAUGAAGCAGAGAACAAAAGUGAAAGGAGCAGACAAGUCAUCACCAUCAAAGUUAUCCUUGUUAGAAAAAGCAGCUUCUGUGUUGAAGGUUACUACAGCAGGGAGGAAGUCCUCUGCAGGCAACUCCCUUAGUAACACUCUGUUAAGUCUUGAAUCGGGACCAAAGUCGUUGAGAAGAAGCUGGGAAGGGAAGGCAGAUGCAAACGUCAAGGCCAAUUCAGAUUCAAAGGGAGCCAAAGCUGACAGGAAGUCUGAGAUUAGAAGCACAUCGACUCCUAGACGAAGACCGCCACCACCAGCAGAUGAGAAGCCCUCACACAAGGAUGAUACUAAGAUUCUGACUCCUCCAAGGAAGAGCACAGCAAGUGCUCCAUCAGAUGAUUCUGACCGACCGGUGAAUAAGCAUCUUUCUCCUAUAAGAAGGACAUCUGGGGUUUUAAGUAACACCAACAUUACAAAUUUAGUGAAGAUUGCUGCAAAUAGCAAAAAGUUGACGGACGCGAGCACUUCAUGGACGGCACUUCCUCCUUCACUUGCUAAAUUAGGAAAGGAGCUUCUCAAAUACAGGGAUGCCGCACAAAUGGCUGCGGUUGAAGCCAUGCAAGAAGCUUCUGCUGCAGAGAGCUUACUUCGAUGUUUAAGCUCGUAUGCCGAGGUGAGCUCGACGGCAGAGGAGCAGAACCCGCAGCUUGCCGUGGAGCAGUUCCUCGCUCUGCACUCAGCCAUGUCGCGUGCCACCGUCGUCGCUGACUCGCUUGCCAAGGCUGCCGCAGCGACCUCUACAGUGACUUCACCGGACCAGUCAACAGCAGGCGAAGCCGCGAGCAUUGACGAGGAAUCCCUUGCCGUUGCAGCGGAGCGCCGCCGCCGCGCAGCAUCCUGGGUGGGCGCCGGUCUCGCCACUGACCUCUCCGCCUUCUCCCUCUACAACCUCAGGCCGGCCCCCGCCAACACGUCCUCGCCGCUGGCCGUCGUGCUCGUCGACGAGUCGGUGAAGCCGGCCGCGACCACGAAGGCAUCGCCACCAGCGAAGUCGCGGCUGUCGCCCGCGAAGGGGAAGGGGAGGCCGGUCCAUGUCGUGGCGGCGGCGGCGGCCAUGGCCGCCCCUCCGCCGGAGUGGGAGAGGGGAGGCGGCGCGGAGGAGAGGGGCGAGCUCGCGAGGCGGCUCGAUGAGGAGGCAAGGAGGUGGUUCCUGGAGUUCGUAGAGCGGUUCCUUGAAGCCGACGUGGCGGCAGCUGCGCCAUGGGACCGCGACCGUGCGGCCAGGAUGCUCCCGCAGCUGAAGCGCGUCAACGACUGGCUCAGCGAGAUCGGGAAGCCGCCCCCGGUGGAACCUCCGCCCCACGACGCGGGCGACGAGGAGGUCGGCGCCGCAGCGCCCGCCACUGCAUACAACGGUGUGCCCGAGCAGACGAUAGAACGGCUGAGGAAGAAGAUCUACGAGUACCUCCUCACCAACGUCGACUCGGCCGCCGCCGUGCUCGGCGAGACGUCGCCGGCGGCAAACGGGAGGAAGGGGUGA